CGUAAUUUGUGUGCGACGCUCAAACACUCUUGCGAUACGAUACGGUUUCCAAAGAAUCCUGGAUGGACUUGUGCUGUUUGCAGGCAUACUAUUUUACUUCCGGAAACACCCGAUUUUGCAGUCUUCAUGUGAAUUACGAGCUGGAUCUGUACGAGUCCGCAGCCAACAGGAAGCUGAGAACUAUACCUGGUGCACCUCAAGGUUUCCUAUGCCAAACUUAAGUGAAACAAACCAGCAUGGAAGAGAGACUGCUUCUGACGUUGGCACUGCUGCUGCUUCUGGACUACUACUGCUGCUGGGGCUACUGCUGCUCCUGGGAUUACUGUUGUUGAUGGGACUCUUGCUACUGCUGCUGGCAUUGCUGCCGACCAUAAAUUGUUUUCUCCAAGCAUUUCCGUGAAAACUAUUACAGCAUGGUUCAACGAUCAACUGAAAGGUUCAGAAAGGUUCGAAGGGAUCGGUAGACUUACUUCAGCGGGAAAGCCAAGACAGAUACCAAUAGUUCAGCAAUGGCGACAUCGAUCGGACAAGCAAGCCUACACAACUUAAACGCUGCGUUCGUAUACGUGUUUUGUCGUUACCAGGAACAAUUAAAUUAAGUAAUUCAAAGAGAUC